GCCUGCGGAGGGAUCAUUACACAAAUAUGAAGGCGGGCUGGAACCUCUCGGGGUUACAGCCUUGCUGAAUUAUUCACCCUUGUCUUUUGCGUACUUCUUGUUUCCUUGGUGGGUUCGCCCACCACUAGGACAAACAUAAACCUUUUGUAAUUGCAAUCAGCGUCAGUAACAAAUUAAUAAUUACAACUUUCAACAACGGAUCUCUUGGUUCUGGCAUCGAUGAAGAACGCAGCGAAAUGCGAUAAGUAGUGUGAAUUGCAGAAUUCAGUGAAUCAUCGAAUCUUUGAACGCACAUUGCGCCCUUUGGUAUUCCAAAGGGCAUGCCUGUUCGAGCGUCAUUUGUACCCUCAAGCUUUGCUUGGUGUUGGGCGUCUUGUCUCUAGCUUUGCUGGAGACUCGCCUUAAAGUAAUUGGCAGCCGGCCUACUGGUUUCGGAGCGCAGCACAAGUCGCACUCUCUAUCAGCAAAGGUCUAGCAUCCAUUAAGCCUUUUUUUCAACUUUGACCUCGGAUCAGGUACGAACCAGCUCU
rnacentral:rRNA from 1 species